rnacentral:rRNA from 1 species
UACGAAGGGGGCUAGCGUUGUUCGGAAUUACUGGGCGUAAAGGGCGCGUAGGCGGUGCUCUAAGUCGGAUGUGAAAACUCUGGGCUCAACCCCAGAGCCUGCAUCCGAAACUGGAGUGCUAGAGUUCUGGAGGGGGGUAGCGGAAUUCCUGGUGUAGCGGUGAAAUGCGUAGAUAUCAGGAGGAACACCGGUGGCGAAGGCGGCUACCUGGACCGACACUGACGGCU